GAUGAACGCUGGCGGCGUGCCUAAUACAUGCAAGUCGAGCGAACAGACGAGGAGCUUGCUCCUCUGACGUUAGCGGCGGACGGGUGAGUAACACGUGGAUAACCUACCUAUAAGACUGGGAUAACUUCGGGAAACCGGAGCUAAUACCGGAUAAUAUAUUGAACCGCAUGGUUCAAUAGUGAAAGACGGUUUUGCUGUCACUUAUAGAUGGAUCCGCGCCGCAUUAGCUAGUUGGUAAGGUAACGGCUUACCAAGGCAACGAUGCGUAGCCGACCUGAGAGGGUGAUCGGCCACACUGGAACUGAGACACGGUCCAGACUCCUACGGGAGGCAGCAGUAGGGAAUCUUCCGCAAUGGGCGAAAGCCUGACGGAGCAACGCCGCGUGAGUGAUGAAGGUCUUCGGAUCGUAAAACUCUGUUAUUAGGGAAGAACAAAUGUGUAAGUAACGAUGCACGUCUUGACGGUACCUAAUCAGAAAGCCACGGCUAACUACGUGU
rnacentral:rRNA from 1 species